rnacentral:rRNA from 1 species
CAGGCUUAACACAUGCAAGUCGAGGGGCAGCAUGGUCUUAGCUUGCUAAGGCCGAUGGCGACCGGCGCACGGGUGAGUAACGCGUAUCCAACCUGCCUUACACUCUUGGACAGCCUUCUGAAAGGGAGAUUAAUACAAGAUGUUAUCAUGAGUAAGCAUUUUCGCAUGAUUAAAGGUUUACCGGUGUAAGAUGGGGAUGCGUUCCAUUAGAUAGUAGGCGGGGUAACGGCCCACCUAGUCUUCGAUGGAUAGGGGUUCUGAGAGGAAGGUCCCCCACAUUGGAACUGAGACACGGUCCAAACUCCUACGGGAGGCAGCAGUGAGGAAUAUUGGUCAAUGGACGAGAGUCUGAACCAGCCAAGUAGCGUGAAGGAUGAAGGUUCUAUGGAUUGUAAACUUCUUUUAUACGGGAAUAAACGAAUCCACGUGUGGAUUUUUGCAUGUACCGUAUGAAUAAGGAUCGGCUAAUUCCGUGCCAGCAGCCGCGGUAAUACGGAGGAUCCGAGCGUUAUCCGGAUUUAUCGGGUUUAAAGGGAGCGUAGAUGGGUUGUUAAGUCAGUUGUGAAAGUUUGCGGCUCAACCGUAAAAUUGCAAUUGAUACUGGCAGUCUUGAGUACAGUUGAGGUAGGCGGAAUUCGUGGUGUAGCGGUGAAAUGCUUAGAUAUCACGAAGAACUCCGAUUGCGAAGGCAGCUUACUAACCUGUAACUGACAUUGAUGCUCGAAAGUGUGGGUAUCAAACAGGAUUAGAUACCCUGGUAGUCCACACGGUAAACGAUGAAUACUCGCUGUAGGCGAUAUACAGUCUGCGGCCAAGCGAAAGCAUUAAGUAUUCCACCUGGGGAGUACGCCGGCAACGGUGAAACUCAAAGGAAUUGACGGGGGCCCGCACAAGCGGAGGAACAUGUGGUUUAAUUCGAUGAUACGCGAGGAACCUUACCCGGGCUUAAAUUGCAACCGAAUAUGGCGGAAACGCUAUAGCUAGCAAUAGCGGUUGUGAAGGUGCUGCAUGGUUGUCGUCAGCUCGUGCCGUGAGGUGUCGGCUUAAGUGCCAUAACGAGCGCAACCCUUGCCGAUAGUUACUAACAGGUCAUGCUGAGGACUCUGUCGGGACUGCCAUCGUAAGAUGUGAGGAAGGUGGGGAUGACGUCAAAUCAGCACGGCCCUUACGUCCGGGGCUACACACGUGUUACAAUGGGGGGUACAGAGGGCUGCUACCACGCAAGUGGAUGCCAAUCCCAAAAACCUCUCUCAGUUCGGAUUGAAGUCUGCAACCCGACUUCAUGAAGCUGGAUUCGCUAGUAAUCGCGCAUCAGCCACGGCGCGGUGAAUACGUUCCCGGGCCUUGUACACACCGCCCGUCAAGCCAUGGGAGCCGGGGGUACCUGAAGUGCGUAACCGCAAGGAGCGCCCUAGGGUAAAACUGGUGACUGGGGC